GAGAUGAUGAGGAUGCUGAUGAUGAGGAAGACGAGGUAAAUGAUGAGGAUUCGUCGGAAGGAGAAGGUGAAGGAUCUGAUGCUGGAGAAGGAGAAGAAGGAUCUGG
rnacentral:sRNA from 1 species